rnacentral:rRNA from 1 species
GUUGCUCGGAAUCACUGGGCGUAAAGUGCACGUAGGCGGCUUGUUAAGUCAGGGGUGAAAUCCUGGAGCUCAACUCCAGAACUGCCUUUGAUACUGGCGAGCUUGAGUCCGGGAGAGGUGAGUGGAACUGCGAGUGUAGAGGUGAAAUUCGUAGAUAUUCGCAAGAACACCAGUGGCGAAGGCGGCUCACUGGCCCGGUACUGACGCUGAGGUGCGAAAGCGUGGGGAGCAAACAGG